rnacentral:sRNA from 1 species
UCCAUCAAAGGGCAGGCCAAAAGUGGCCCAC